CAUCUCGUACAACACAGGAGGCUGUGAAAACAAUCAUAUAUUAUUAUUUUCAUUCCUUGUGACAGUGGAAGAAUGUUCUUGCCAUUUGACUCUUAAUCUGCACACAUUUUGUCCAACUGCUACCUUUGACUCAUCCCAAGAGCAAGGUUUUGUGUUGAGCAGAGAUUACUACCCCGUUCUAUGACUUAGAUUAUCAUGGUGUCUGUAGGCAAGUAUUUCCUUCUGUUACUUUUAGAAUAAUCAGCCAAUUGACUAGUGAGGAUUAGCAUAUUUAUGGGAUUAGACAAGACAGAAAUCAACAAUAAAUUAACUAACUCAGAAAGUAUAUUGUCUUCUUGUCACUACUUUUACAAGUGCCAGUAUUCAAAGGAAACAGGUCGGUGAGGGUCUUAGGUCAAGGCAUACUCAUUUUUUUGUUUAACAAGGACACACAAUUGCUUUAGAGACCCAGAUCCUCAGCUAUUCAAAUUGUCAUAGCCCUACUGAUACCAGUAUGAUGAAAAAAACAGGAGAAAUUGCCUAUAUUCUUUUUGUGUUUAUUGAUAUUCAUGUUGUCUUUAUUUGCUUGCCACCAGAAAUGAGAAAAAACACAUGGAGGCAACUUGGAGUGCUGAUCUCAACAUCCUUAGUGGCCAAAAUGGGAAAUUUAGAUCCAAAUAAUGCAAUGACCUGAGCUGAGGCUUGAGUCAAGCAUUCUGCCUUUUGCAUAAAGUACAGGAACAACAAAAGUCAAGAAGACUUGAGAGUCAUCUCCCAGAAAAGGAAGUACUCUGCGGGGCUUUCAUGCAGGAUUGAGCCUACAGAUAGUAUUAUGAAGUUAAUGAAAUACGUACUUUCAGAUCUCCUGAGAUAUUGGCUCCUGCAAGAAUGCCAGUGGCAGCUGGGAAAAAAAUGGCAAACACCGAA